rnacentral:tRNA from 1 species
GGAGUUGUGGCUCAGUGGUAGGGCACUUGCUUGCAUGAGGUCCUGGGUUCGAUCCUCAGCAACACAU